UCGAAAUCAAAAUGAAACAAAACACCUGCAACGUCUCAUUCCAGUCAUGGUUUUACCUUCAGACUCUCAAAUACCGCUCUCUCAGGGCCGUUGUUGCUAAAUACCUAUUCCAAUGGCUGUUUUCACACCCGCUGCCUCUUACUAUCAGGACCGUCCUUCGCUCCAAGCCUUGAUGGGUUUCUCCAUCUCUAGUUGUGUCUCUGUACCUUCAGACCCUCAGACAAAGGCAGCUGAUGCUCCAUGAUUCCCCAAGGCCACGCGUGUCUUAAUGAGGACCCGGAAGGAGCAUCUGAAGAGUCAGACGGUCCAGAGGUAAUGUUUAAUGUGCAUAUCCUGUGGCCGGUCGAGUCGAUGCAUAAAAUCAACCAUCACUACAUUCUAAGCCGCCGAAAGAUGAGGACCACGUCAGAAUGUUCCCCGUGCCCUUCCCUGCGGGCCAGGAUACCAGUUAUGUCAAGGGAAGAUCAGGGGCCAGCUGUGUCCUCAGCAGACUGCGCAGGAUGCUCAGGGCAUCCCCUCCUUCCCAUCACUGCUGCAUUAUCACUGCUGCUCUGAUACCUAAAUUGCAACCAGGAAAGUGACAUCAUUGACAGGUGCUUUGUUAGUGAGAACCCAAACUGCAGACACCCCAACUCCAUUCUUCACUCCAUGGUUCCAGUUUUUUUGGAGUUCACUGCAAAUGACUUCUGUCUACUUAUUCAUUGGUAAGAAUGGGAUAAUAUGCAUCAUCCUAAUUCUAACGAGCCAGGAUGGAGGCCAAGUCGGCUCUCUUCUGAAUUAAAGUCAGAAUGGAAAUCCAGGGGCUGGUCGCUGUCGCCGUUUUAUCAGUUGCUGUCACAAGUAGGCAGAGGAGGAAGCAGGAAAUAAAGGUUACAUGAAUUAUUCAAUGACCGGAGGACUUAGGAGAACAUUACAGCCGUCAGCUUUAUCACUUUCAUUGAUAAUCUCCCCAAUAUCAAUGAGUCUGAGAGUUAGGGUUGAUUUUUUUGUUUAUAAAGACUAUUCGCAGGGCAGGGGUUACCGAAUGAAAGUACUCCGACAGGCCCUGAAAAUGGCUAGUUGCCAAAUGGUGAGGCUAUGUGCAUGCCGGGAAUUUAAAACAUUCCUUAUAGACUCUUACUAAAAAAUGAGAAACUGACGACACAGAGGCAAAUUAAGAGCCUGUGCCAGUAAAUACCAGCUUGUACAGGGAUGACAACUGCGAGCUUGGAAAGGAGGAAGCAAAUGUGAAGAUGCUCAUCGAGACAGAGCAGGCAAGAUUUGGCAAGUGGUGUAACGCUGCAAAUGAAAGGAUUAAAGGAUGCAAAGAUGAUUCUAACAUUUUGAGCCAGGAGAAGAUGAUAACUUUGAUAAGAAGUAAAGACCAAAGAAAGAGCAAAUUGAGGGGAGAGGGUGCUGACACCUGAAUGAGACAGAUUAAAUUCAAGGUCAUGGGGAGAAAUCCCGGGACCAACGCCUAGUGGGCCGUUGGCAGUGAGACUCUGGACUUGAGAAAGAGAUUCUCUCUGUAAGGAAGGUAGGGGGCUUUGGAGAAGCCUUGAGAAGAGCCUGGAGACGGCCCAGCAGUUUAAUCUAGAUCAUUGGAUGCCACAAUAUUAAAGAGGAAAAGAUAAUUUAAGCAAGAGGCCAACAACUGCAAAUCCCGUAGACAAAUAGUGGGAUUUGAGGGAUAGAAAACUUGUCUGGAUUUGAUCACACUAAAAGAGGUACCUGUGUGGAGCAGAAGCCAGACUGUAGGGGGGUAAGGAGUAAAACCAAGGCCUCAGAGGCCAUACGUAGAGACUGAUUUCCAGUAAUUCGACAGUGAAGGAGCACUAUGAUGAUUGCCCGAUAGGCCAGCCCUACGGAGGGAGAGAUUUUAGACAAAGAUCUAAACCUAAGAGGAUGGGACUAUGGAUAUGAAAAAAUAAGAACAUUCAAAAUGUACUGGAAGAGAGAAUUGUUCAUAAAAAUUGCUUUAGAAUUGGCAUUAAAGCAGUAAGAUGAAGAGCAAUAUUCACAAUUAGGGUACGGAUGCUUCUUCCUCUGAGUCAGGAGACACGGGAUGAAAAUGAUGGAAGAUAACAAAAGAGUUGGCAGGUAAGAAAGGUAAUAUGAAAAAGUUUGCACUGAACUGUCUCAAUCGUAUCAGUAAUAAAAGGAGUCAAAACCUUUUUUUGAGAGUAAAAAAAAUGCAUCUCACACUUUGCAGUAAAGACGGGGGAGUACUCGUCGUAACCACGUCUUUCAUUUUCUGUAUCCUGAUGCUUUGCCAUCAGGGCCUGGCUGACCCUGUAGGGACGGCCUUUCCCGGGGUGAGCUAGUUCCUAGUAAAGAUAUUCCUAGACGUAGGGGAAAGCCAGGGAGAGUGCUUUUCAAACGCAGACCAACCAAUGCAGAGCCCACACCCCAGCUGGCUUCUUUAUCGGGCUCUCGUCCACCUGCCCUAAGCACCCCAAAGGGGUAGAUACCCCUAUGCCUCAGGGCCCCCUGAAACGACUCAGACUAGCUCACCCCAAGACUGUUUGCACGCCUCACCUGCACCUUCCUGUAGAAACCACUGGGGAGACUCCUGCUCAUAAUUUCUCCCUCUCCCUCUGCCUCCUGACUAACUGGUUUCUCCUCCCUUCCCUUGUGACCCUCUGAGGACCUCGGAGCUCAAACCAUCUUUUCAAUGGAAAUAUCAUUUGAUCUCUUAGCCUUGCCAUACCUGAAUCA